GAUGAAGAACGUAGCGAAAUGCGAUACUUGGUGUGAAUUGCAGAAUCCCGUGAACCAUCGAGUCUUUGAACGCAAGUUGCGCCCGAAGCCAUUAGGCCGAGGGCACGCCUGCCUGGGCGUCACACGUCGUUGCCCCCCCAUCUAAUCCUUCGGGAUUGCGGGGGGCGGAUGAUGGCCUCCCGUGCGCCUCGUCGCGCGGUUGGCAUACAUGCCAAGUCCUCGGCGACGCACGCCACGACAAUCGGUGGUUGCGAAACCUCGGUUGCCCGUUGUGUGCGGUCGUCGCGCAUCGAGGGCUCGAAAAAAUUGCCGGGCUCCGGCUCGACUUUCAACGCGACCCCAGGUCAGGCGGGGUUACCCGCUGAAUUUAAGCAUAUCAAUAAGCGGAGGA
rnacentral:misc_RNA from 1 species